rnacentral:lncRNA from 12 species
ACCCACCCUGGGUCCCUGUCCUCUCUGCCUCAUAUCUAGACCCAUCCUGAGUCCCCAUCCUCUCUGCCCUCAUAUCUGGACCCACCCUGGGUCCCCAUCCUCCCAGCCCUCACAUCUGGACCCAUCCUGGGUCCCCAUCCUCCCCCCUCACAUUGGGACCCCAUCACAUGUGUUCUGUCACAGGUGGUCACCGUCCUGCUGGGGCUCACAGCCUCAUGUGAGCAAGCACACACAUGCUGUGUUAAUCCCCUGUACAUCCUUCCUGCCUCCAGGGGUUCGCCCACCAUGGCCAGCGUCGGUUUUAACCUCCCACCUCCAGUUCAAGUCCUUCAGAAGUUUCCUGCUGCAUUAAGGCGAAGCAGACUUCUUAGCAUGGCUCAGGGCCCCACAGGGUCUGUCCCUCCUCCACUCCGCCUUCUCACCUCCUGCUGUCAGGGCCCCGGGAGCACACCUCCGAAACGCUGUUCCCCCCCUCAACCCUCUCAUCUUACAGGAAUGGCCUGCAGGUGGCAUGGACAAGAGAGGGUUUUCCAGUGUGCUAGGACUCUGUGAUGCAGUUCCAGCUAAGACACCCCGAGUCAUUACGGACGCUCGGACAGCUGUUCGCCCACCUGCUCUUUUCAGCACACCUGUGCAGGUACGGAGCGGCCCGCCUGCAGGGGAUCUCGGCCUCCUCCCUACUGGGCAGUGGCAGGACCACCCAUCUCCCCAGGGAGGCAAUCUUAUCUGACUGGAGGUGUCCAUGAUUCCUCUGAGGAAAAUCAGGUACAAAGUGAAGAUAUGUGACACCUGGAUCCAAGUAUUUUGGAUUCUAAGCCCAGGGGCUUCCACUGCACAAGCGACUCCAAUUUCAUGUUCUGAAGGCUCAUUUCAGAUUCCACAUGGGAAGACGUCAUUCCUGCGAGGCAAACUAUAUACAUACGUAAGGAUGCGUAUGUGCAAGCAUUUGGUAUAUUUUUGUCAAUAUGUGUGGACGUCGAGAUAAAUGCGGCCGACAGCACAAUCCCAGAUAGUGGUCAUCAGCUGCACUUAGACAUGGUUGGUCCAUGUGAAAAGAAGUGCUUAUUUCUGGUAAAAAAAAAAAAAAAAAAAAAAAAAAAAAAAGAGGAGGCUGGAGUGGGGAGGGACCAACUGGACUGGUAUUCACGCACAACUCCUUACGUCAUCGAAAUACUCUGAAUGUAAAGCAAUUUAAAAAUGGUCUCAUGCCUUAAAAAUUUAAAUCUGUUCAUUGUGUGAGUUCUGAAUUCUUACGUUACCCCCCACUUGUUUGGGGACAUGAAGGUGGUUUUACUUACCUUCCAUGUUUCUUGGGUUCGAAGUUGGUAAAAGUGUGCCAAUCAAAAUUUCAAAGUGCAUGUUCCAAUCCAAAUUUUUAUGACGUCUGCAGGUCCAUCUGAAAUUGGGUCCUUUCUUUCCAAGUGUCCUUGGAUGGAUAACCCACAGGAACUCCUAUCAGAGCAAGGGCUACAGGGGUGGACACUGGAGCGCCUGCCCAGAAGUAGCUCACGAAGUAGCACAUUUGUGGGGUGUGUUGAAGGGGACCCGAGUGAGCUCCGUUGACUAAUUUCAGUUCCAACACCAGGUCCCCCCUGGGGCAGCUCUGCAGAGCCCCGAGGGACAGAGGACUCGCUCCCCCUCUGCAUUUAGCCUCCUCGGAGACACGACCCUGCCGUGGGCACAUCACUUUCUCUUGGGCUCGCUGCCCUGUUCCAGAAGCUUCCACGUUGCCGAAACCCCCCCCACACACAGCCUUCUCAUGGACGGUGCAAGUACAUCAGUUUGGGGCUAAACAUAUUUUCAAAUGUCAGCCUGCUUAUUUGGUCCAUGGGAUGAGAAAUGCAAGACUCUAAGCAAAUGCCAUGUUUGGUUUGGACUUUGUCCUGGAACGUGGAAUGGAACACAUGCUAGAUGCUCCCCGAGCGUUGCGAGGAUUAAAAGAGAAAGCGUGAGCCAAAGGCAUCGGUGAAUUCCCAUAUGCUGUGCUUGACCGAGUUUCAGUAGUCCUUGUUUACCAUCCCCGCGAUGAUUAGAACCAUCAGACUGUAUCGUCACAGACCCACAAUGGUGAGAGGACGUAGAAUCAUAAGGUCUAAGAACUUAUACGGAAUGUGUAAGCUGAGGAGCCUGUGUGGAUACCUCCCAGAAAAAAAAAAAAUUAAAAAAUUAAAAAAUAAAUAAAACGAAAGGAAGGAAGGAAAAGGGAAG